CAGGGAGACAAAACUGAUUUUGAUGCCUAAAUCAAUUAAAUUUUAGGCCAUAAUCCUGUCACCUUAGGUCGAUCGGUACCUCAAAUUUGAAAUUUCUAGAGAUUGAUUUUUCAGUUUUUAGAUUGAUUAAUUUUCAGUUCCUAAACUUGUCUAGGUCACACCCACGAUGGGUACUCCUGGGCCAUUAGCUCAGGUGGUUAGAGCGCACCCCUGAUAAGGGUGAGGUCCCUGGUUCAAGUCCAGGAUGGCCCAUUCGAUUUUGGGGGUAUAGCUCAGUUGGUAGAGCGCCUGCUUUGCAAGCAGGAUGUCAGCGGUUCGAGUCCGCUUACCUCCACUGAUCGACCUCCUGAGGAUGAAUGCAGGAUAUCUUUAAUAUGGAUGUGAUUUAGACUUGUUCUUGUUGGAGGAACCUAGCUUCCUAUCAUUCCUGAUUUAACUAAUUUUUUAAAUUUGGUUGAUAAGAUGCUGGGCUCACUGUAAUUAGAUAAUUACAGUGAAAUUCAGCAGAACCUUGACAACUGCAUAGGUGAGUCUGGAAAAGAAUAAAGCAUCUCAUGGAUGCAUUAUCUUUUUAGCUUGAAUGAUUUAUUUGCUAACGCAAGUAAUUGUUUGGCUAAAUUUUUAAUGUUUAAUUCUUGAGCAAGAGCCGAGACUCUGUUAACUGAUUUCAAUGUAUUUAUUUCAUUGAAAUUAAAUUACAGAGAUAAAU
rnacentral:tRNA from 1 species